UCGCCCCCGGGCGUUAAACCUGUUUGGACCCCAGGAAGUGUCUGACUUCCAUUCGCUUCGUCCUGAUUCGCAGCUCUCCCCCGAGACCUCGUCCCGCAGGCACAGCCCGAGGCCUCCGCCGCCGAGGGGUGCCUGAAGCUGUCAGCCCUGGGGCCCUGCCGCCGGGACUGACGCCCCCGCUGCAGUGGGGCUGUUGGCCGCCCUCAUCGCUAGCUGGGUCAAAAGGUCUCAGGCCGCGGUCCACGCUGCAUAGCAUGAUGUGAGUGGAGUUUAUCGGAGACAGGGACCACCACGGCAGACUUUGUCCCUCUCCUGCUAGUGCCCGUCCCUUCCUGUCCCUCAGAAAGAAUGCAACUCCAAGCAGCAGGCACAGCUGAGCCCAGCAGAGCACUAUGGUGACCAUGUGGGAAGAACCAUGGGGAAUAAAACUGAGCCUGAGCCUAGCCAAGCCAAGCCAAGCAUAGAAGACCCAAGACAAGCUGAUGCUACUAAGCACAGUUGAGCCCAGCAGUCAAAAUUAGGUGACACAUCAUAGAUUAUUCCAGCUUUUGGGAGGUUUUUCCAUCAUUUUUAUUCCCUGUCUUGUGCUCAGGGACUGAGAAUGCCAUCUGGGGAGAGCAUCUGCCAUCUUGUCUUUGUCUCAGCAGCCAAGCAUGCUGAGUUGAGGUAGCGAACAUCUCUUGUGUGUAAAGCACAUUCCCUUUGGCAUACUUUUGUUAUUAGUAUUGCGCUGGUUUUCUGUGUUUCUUAUUUCAUUGCCGUUUGUUUUCAGUAAAUUUUUAUCUCAACCAUUGUUAUCUUAACAUUUGUUCCUCUCUCACUGGAAUAGGAGUGGGGGAACAGGAACACCUUAUUUGGAGUUUAAUUCCAAGCUAUUUUUAAACCACUACACCAUGCAAAAUAGUAAACGAAACAGGACUGGAGAAAACCAUGCUUUAAAUGUGUAGCUCAGGAAAAGCAGCAGAAGCAUUGAGCGCUGAGGAGAUAGGAUGCCGCUAGCCAUGGAACCAUUAACUCUGUCAUACAAGAUGGCGCCAUUCAUCUGCUUUUGGAAGGAGAUUUCUGUGUGUCUGGACCUUGGUGAAGGACACCUGAAGGCUCAGGGUGGCCAGAAGUUCUCAUGUGCAGGGUCGCAUGAAGAAAUGAUUGAGUGGAAAAACAUUGCCCAUGCUACAAAAACGGAGAGUUAGGCUGCGUGCUCCUUUGCCAUACCAUCUGCUGUGGGGGUCAUCUCUCCACAGCAUCUGUGCUCAGUCUCAUGGAUCUGGAGCCCCUUCUGGAGACACGUCUGUUUACACAGUUGUAAGAAGUGGUUAUGAAACAAUUUAGCAGACCAGAAAUUGAUCAGACCACAUUGGUGCUGCAUCAGGCCCCUGAUGCUUGCAGGCCAGCAGGAAAUACGUUCUGGUUCACCCAGUGAGAGCUGGGUGCCUCUAAACAGCAUCUAAAAUCCUUGUUCUUGCUGAACAACAGUGGGAUCUGCCAGGAGCCUGUGGUGUGUGUCAGUGUCUUUGCUGCAUGUGCUAGCACAAAAUUCAGUAAGAGACAGUUGAAGAUGAGCAGAAUCUGUGGAUUUUAGGAACUUCCAGAUACUGCAGAUAUCUAUCUUCCUUAUUUACAGUAGUUGUGGGGGAAGAUUAGUAUUUUGCCUCCAUAGAGGGAGAAUCAAUACAGAUGCUGUUUUUUCUGAUGUAGUGCCACUGAGAAGGUGACUGCUGACUUGCAUUAUGAGCAGCAGUGAAUCUGCAUGAGGAACUGCCUAUGCUCUAGAAGAAGCACGCAGAGAUGGAAAGAGGCAUCAGAGCUGAGCUCUAACUAGUUUUGAUGGCACCUUUUUAGCUCAUCUGGCAACUCUCCUCUUCUUCCCUCACCAAACACAUGCACAGUGCAACUCCUGGCAUCAGCAUGGAGCAGAGCAUUAGGUGUCCAGACAAUUACCAUGUGCAUUUCAACUUAAAUGGUCUGGCAUGGAGCAUUCACCAGCUAUCAGAUAAUUGCACAAUUAUCUGCAUAGAUGUAGGGUGUGUGUGUGUUUUGGCAAGAAAAUAUAACUGUUUUCUUCUUGUAUCAUCUCAGUGACAGACGUUUGGCGAGAGGGCUUGUGCCUGCACAGAUGGCAGUGUUGGGUGAUUUUGCAGGGUUUCUGCUAUGGGUAUGGUAUCAGCUGAACCGAAAACAGAGAUAAGUUUUCCAAAGGAACCUGCCUUACUGAAGGUAAGGAAGCUCAGGUGCUGUGUGUUCACAUGGCUAGCCUGCAUCCCCCGAAGUGUAGUUAGAAAAUAAAUCCUCCAGGAAGACCCAGGAAGAGGGAGACAAAAGGCAUUUUAGGGAUGAGGGAGCAGGAUUCAGAUUUAGGUGCAAGAUCUCCUUUAUCAGUUACUCAUGUACCUACGGUGGCACUGAGUUUGCGCAGGCAGCCUGUCAGUUACACACAAAAAUUCAGUCCUGUGGGACGAUCUAGAAUCGUCUAGUGCUGAUGUGAUUAUAACACAGAGAACCAGUGAUUGCAUGGCUCUUCUGGCUGCUUAAUGCUUUUCCAAAUUCAGUCUGAUAGACCCCAGUAGGAACUCCUUAAGGAGUAAGGGUGUAGAUUUGUUAGUAUGUCCUCUUGAUGGCCCAACAGUACUGCAGGUACUCCACGAGGUAUUUGGACAUAAUUUCACAUGCUUGGAGCAUCAUCUGGCUCCUGACAGGCAAUGCUGGGCAAAAAGCUUUGUGGUUUGGUAUGUAGCCACUGAAAUCAGUGAUGAAGGCAGGAUGGGAACACCCUUGUCUUUAAACAGAGCCCAUGAGCUGGUGUUGUAUUGAACCAAUAUCCCAGUUUUUUCAGGACUCUUCUACGUUGUCCAAGAAUGAAAGUGAUAAAGUUUUUAUUUUGGGACCAGAAAAAAGCAAUUUAUGCCAAUAAAAAACCCCAAACAAACCAACCAACCAAACAGAAAACCCCCCAAAACCCAUAAGCAAGGAUGCUGUAUUUCCUGGAGGAGUUUAAAGCAGGAUAACUCUUAUUCCAGCCUUCUGGUGAUAGAACACUGUUACAGAUGGUAGCUGAUACAUGUUUGUCAUCACAAACUGUAAUUUUAUUUCAGUUUUAUUUUGCUAGGCUAAGACUCCUUUUCUGCAAGCAUUAGAGCCGCACACUUAUUGCAGCAGCCAUUGUUUUCUGAUCUCAUACACAUCCAAGCCCUGGAGCAAUUCAUGCUGUUUUUUGUUGUUUAUGAGGACAAAGUUGUUACAAAUGGAGAAGGGAGUUUUAAACCAGUUUCUCUUUCCCAGCCAUUGGGCUUUAGACAGCGCUUUUACUGAGGUGGCCAGCACCCCAAAGCCCGCUCUCAUUGCAAGUUAUUGAAAAUGUUUAAGUCUAUUACAAAAUGAAUUAUUUAUUUGAUAGACACAAAUUUAAACCACACAAGACUUUAACAGAUGACCAACUACACAGGAUAAGCAAGGACCAGUACCAGCAGAUAAACAAUACAGCAUGAGGCUGAGGUCCCUGUACUACAGCUAGUGAAGAAAUAUUAUAGAUUAGGAUUCAAUGCAUUUUACCAUCCAGUUUCUGAUGGGGCAUACACAGGACCCUUCCUCUCAGCUUCUGGAAAAGUAUCCACGGAGAUGCAUCCAAACAUUGUGGGAGAAGCCCUGAAUAUUUCCAGGGAGUGUCUGGGAGGCUUCUGUCUGUGGAAAUUUGUGUAGUUUUAUAUUGUGAAGUAGUGUCUUUUGGUCAACGAUAUUUAAUUUUUAUCGCUCUCUACAUCUGCUCUCCAGAGCAAGGUGUUUAUUCUCAGCUGGGGGUCUCAGCCCUCUUGGCACCAGGGAUAACCCCCUGGGUUAUCUCCUCCAUAUGCACAGCUGAGGUGUUGACACAAAGAUGUGUCGUGAGAAGGAAAGGAAAAACUGAUACAGACUUUAAUGUUCACGACUGAGCACGUGCUGUGAAGCGUUCCUGAGUGGCCACACGUAUACCCUCGUUCAGCACUGAGUGGCACUAAUCAGAAGCUGUUACUGCAGGCUAUUACGUGCCAGAGCUCAGCUCAAACCAGACACACAACUUUUGAAGAUCUGGAAUAUGGAAAAAGUGGGAACUACGACUUAAUAUCCUAGCACAUGAUAAACCUUGCCUUGGGAAGCCAGAAGCAAUCUAAGUCUCUGUCUCCUGUUGCAGUUCAAUAAAUUGCCUAAAUAAA